rfam:Paenibacillus sp. IHB B 3415 contig_041, whole genome shotgun sequence.
UCAAUCCUUCAGGGCAGGGUGUAAUUCCCUACCGGCGGUGAUGCUGUUAGAUUGGCUGUUUCUGGCCAGUUCUGCUGCUCAGUCCGCUACCCGAUCCGUAUGCUGGUGAUACGGACGGUGGACCUGGUGCAAUUCCGGGACCGACAGUAUAGUCUGGAUGGAAGAAGGAGAGA